GCUUCUCUUCCACAUUAUUGCAGGUGAUUGAAUGCUGAAACUAAAGCAUUCGUGCGUUUCCAUCCCACCCAACCAAGCGUCGCUCCCUCAUGUUCAUAUAGAACCCCAGUCAAGCGCAGAUUAGGGUCUUUCUUGCUUGCGAAUUGCCCCCGUUGCUUCAACAAACCCUAAUUUUCAGAUCUCAUGGAUUUCCACAGCCUUACCAGAACAGAGCUUCAAUCUCUCUGCAAACUGAACAAGAUCCCUGAUUACAUCACCAAUGUCGCCAUGGCUGAUGCUCUCCAAUCUCUCGAUGUCUAAUCUGAUGAUGGGUAAUAGCAGAACAAAUGAAAAGGGCAAGGCGCCUAUCUCUGCUGAUAGCGCUUUUUUGAGAGGAGUAUCACUACCCGGCGGCCUUACUAUUCUUGAAGGAAACAUUGGUGAAGAUGCUUUUGAUUCCUUGCUAGAUAUGUCCAUCACAUUUGCCAAACUAGAAUAUUUUCAUUAGUCUCUUGCACAAGGGUUACAUGAAACUGUUGCAAACCUUAGGGGUUAUUCGACGAAUUCAAACAGCGUCAAGAAUCAUCAAAUAAACAUGAGUUCCAAUAUGGUAAACACAAAUCUCCAAGGAGUUCCAUCAUUGCCUGGAACAUGAGUUAGCCUCAACAAUCUGUGAACUAAUGGUACAAUGCAAUAUCUUCUGGUGGCAUUAGUACUUUUGGUGGGUAAUUAAGUUUUGCAUCUUUUAAUAGACCACAGGUAAAUAGAGAUAUUGUUGGUUCAUCUGUUUUAGUUAACCCUAGAGAAUCUAUACCUCUUCACUCACGAUAUACAUAUCUGAAACAAAGUAAUUAAUUUUGUAACAUCUAAGUACACCAUCCUGUGUAAUUUGUGAGAAAUUAUAAACCAUGGUGGUUGUAGCUCGAAUACAAAUGAUUGAAUGUAGAUAUUUGGGUUAUUUUUUGUUUU
rnacentral:lncRNA from 1 species